rnacentral:rRNA from 1 species
AACGCGAAGAACCUUACCUACCCUUGACAUCCUCGGAAGCUAAUAGAGAUAUUGGUGUGCCUUCGGGAACCGAGAGACAGGUGCUGCAUGGCUGUCGUCAGCUCGUGUCGUGAGAUGUUGGGUUAAGUCCCGUAACGAGCGCAACCCCUAUUCUUAGUUGCCAACAGGUAGAGCUGGGAACUCUAAGGAGACUGCCGGUGACAAGCCGGAGGAAGGUUGGGAUGACGUCAAGUCCUCAUGGCCCUUACGGGUAGGGCUACACACGUGCUACAAUGGGCAGUACAGAGGGAAGCGAAGCUGUGAAGUGUAGCGAAUCUCAGAAAGCUGCUCGUAGUCCGGAUUGGAGUCUGCAACUCGACUCCAUGAAGUUGGAAUCGCUAGUAAUCGCGGAUCAGAACGCCGCGGUGAAUACGUUCCCGGGCCUUGUACACACCGCUAGUC